ACUCCUACGGGAGGCAGCAGUGGGGAAUAUUGCACAAUGGGCGCAAGCCUGAUGCAGCCAUGCCGCGUGUGUGAAGAAGGCCUUCGGUUGUAAAGCACUUUCAGCAGUGAGGAAGGCGGGUAUGUUAAUAGCAUAUUCGUUUGACGUUAGCUGCAGAAGAAGCACCGGCUAACUCCGUGCCAGCAGCCGCGGUAAUACGGAGGGUGCGAGCGUUAAUCGGAAUUACUGGGCGUAAAGCGCAUGCAGGUGGUUUGUUAAGUCAGAUGUGAAAGCCCGGGGCUCAACCUCGGAAUAGCAUUUGAAACUGGCAGACUAGAGUACUGUAGAGGGGGUAGAAUUUCAGGUGUAGCGGUGAAAUGCGUAGAGAUCUGAAGGAAUACCGGUGGCGAAGGCGGCCCCCUGGACAGAUACUGACACUCAGAUGCGAAAGCGUGGGGAGCAAACAGGAUUAGAUACCCUGGUAGGAUAGCG
rnacentral:rRNA from 1 species